GACGAACGCUGGCGGCGUGCCUAAUACAUGCAAGUUGAGCGAUGAAGAUUGGUGCUUGCACCAAUUUGAAGAGCAGCGAACGGGUGAGUAACGCGUGGGGAAUCUGCCUUUGAGCGGGGGACAACAUUUGGAAACGAAUGCUAAUACCGCAUAACAACUUUAAACAUAAGUUUUAAGUUUGAAAGAUGCAAUUGCAUCACUCAAAGAUGAUCCCGCGUUGUAUUAGCUAGUUGGUGAGGUAAAGGCUCACCAAGGCGAUGAUACAUAGCCGACCUGAGAGGGUGAUCGGCCACAUUGGGACUGAGACACGGCCCAAACUCCUACGGGAGGCAGCAGUAGGGAAUCUUCGGCAAUGGACGAAAGUCUGACCGAGCAACGCCGCGGGAGUGAAGAAGGUUUUCGGAUCGUAAAACUCUGUUGGUAGAGAAGAACGUUGGUGAGAGUGGAAAGCUCAUCAAGUGACGUUAACUACCCAGAAAGGGACGGCUAACUACGUG
rnacentral:rRNA from 1 species